CGCUAGAGCGUCGGGCCUAUACCGGGCCGUCCGCGCAAUACGAGCGCCCACGGUACCAUGCGCGGACGAGUAGGAGGGUCGCCGUGGUGAGCACUGAAGCUUUCGGGCGCGAGCCCGGGUGGAGCCGCCACGGGUGCAGAUCUUGGUGGUAGUAGCAAAUAUUCA
rnacentral:rRNA from 1 species